rnacentral:rRNA from 1 species
GAUGAACGCUGGCGGCGUGCUUAACACAUGCAAGUCGAACGAUGAACCGGGUGCUUGCACUCGGGGAUUAGUGGCGAACGGGUGAGUAACACGUGAGCAACCUGCCCCUGACUCUGGGAUAAGCGCUGGAAACGGCGUCUAAUACUGGAUAUGUCCCGUCACCGCAUGGUGUGCGGGUGGAAAGAUUUUUCGGUUGGGGAUGGGCUCGCGGCCUAUCAGCUUGUUGGUGAGGUAAUGGCUCACCAAGGCGUCGACGGGUAGCCGGCCUGAGAGGGUGACCGGCCACACUGGGACUGAGACACGGCCCAGACUCCUACGGGAGGCAGCAGUGGGGAAUAUUGCACAAUGGGCGGAAGCCUGAUGCAGCAACGCCGCGUGAGGGAUGACGGCCUUCGGGUUGUAAACCUCUUUUAGCAGGGAAGAAGCGAGAGUGACGGUACCUGCAGAAAAAGCACCGGCUAACUACGUGCCAGCCGCCGUAAGAC